rnacentral:rRNA from 1 species
AUGUCACCAAGCUGUAGUUGAAUCUCGGGGCCAGUAGGUUGGUCGUGCCACUGGUAUGCACUGGCCUCACUGGUCCCUCCUUCUUGUAGAACCGUGAUGGCAUUAAUUUGUUGUUGCGGGGAAACAGGACUGUUACUUUGAAAAAAUUAGAGUGCUUAAAGCAGGCUCGCGCUUGAAUACAUUAGCAUGGAAUAACGAAAUAGGACGAUCGAACCUAUUUUGUUGGUUUCUAGGAUCGACGUA